UUCUGGCUCAGGAUGAACGCUAGCGGCAGGCUUAACACAUGCAAGUCGAGGGGCAGCGGGUCCAGCAAUGGAUGCCGGCGACCGGCGAAAGGGUGAGUAACGCGUGAGCAACGUGCCCGUCUGAGGGGGGAUAGUCAUUGGAAACGAUGCGUAAUACCCCGUAACAACAUUUACCGCAUGGUGAAUGUUUGAAAGAUUUAUUGCAGACGGAUCGGCUCGCGUACCAUUAGCUAGUUGGCGGGGUAACGGCCCACCAAGGCAACGAUGGUUAGGGGUUCUGAGAGGAAGGUCCCCCACAUUGGAACUGAGACACGGUCCAGACUCCUACGGGAGGCAGCAGUGAGGAAUAUUGGACAAUGGCCGGGAGGCUGAUCCAGCCAUGCCGCGUGCGGGAAGACGGCCCUAUGGGUUGUAAACCGCUUUUGUCGGGGAGCAAUAAGUAGUACGCGUACUACGAUGAGAGUACCUGGCGAAUAAGCAUCGGCUAACUCCGUGCCAGCCGCGGC
rnacentral:rRNA from 1 species